rnacentral:rRNA from 1 species
UACGGGGGGGGCAAGCGUUGUUCGGAAUUACUGGGCGUAAAGGGCUCGUAGGCGGCCAACUAAGUCAUACGUGAAAUCCCUCGGCUUAACCGGGGAACUGCGUCUGAUACUGGAUGGCUUGAGUUCGGGAGAGGGAUGCGGAAUUCCAGGUGUAGCGGUGAAAUGCGUAGAUAUCUGGAGGAACACCGGUGGCGAAGGCGGCAUCCUGGACCGGCAUUGACGCUGAGUGAGCGAAAGCCAGGGGAGCAAAGCGGG